GACGAACGCUGGCGGCGUGCUUAACACAUGCAAGUCGAACGGUGAAGGGAUCAGCUUGCUGGUUCUGGAUGAGUGGCGAACGGGUGAGUAACACGUGAGUAACCUGCCCCCUUCUUCUGGAUAACCGCAUGAAAGUGUGGCUAAUACGGGAUAUUCUGGGUCUGUCGCAUUAUGGGUCUGGGAAAGAUAUUGUUUCGGUGGGGGAUGGGCUCGCGGCCUAUCAGCUUGUUGGUGGGGUGAUGGCCUACCAAGGCGGUGACGGGUAGCCGGCCUGAGAGGGUGGACGGUCACACUGGGACUGAGACACGGCCCAGACUCCUACGGGAGGCAGCAGUGGGGAAUAUUGCACAAGGGGCGCAAGCCUGAUGCAGCGACGCCGCGUGAGGGAUGGAGGCCUUCGGGGUGUAAACCUCUUUCGCCAGUGAAGCAGGCCUGCUCCUUGUGGGUGGGUUGACGGUAGCUGGAUAAGAAGCGCCGGCUAACUACGUG
rnacentral:rRNA from 1 species